GAUGAACGCUAGCGGGAGGCUUAACACAUGCAAGUCGAGGGGCAUCACGAGGUAGCAAUACUUUGGUGGCGACCGGCGCACGGGUGAGUAACACGUAUGCAACCUACCCUGUACAGGGGGAUAACCCGGAGAAAUUCGGACUAAUAUUCCAUAAUGAUAUUUUAGGGCAUCCUUUAAUAUUUAAAGCUUUGGCGGUACAGGAUGGGCAUGCGCAACAUUAGCUAGUUGGGAGGGUAACGGCCUACCAAGGCUAUGAUGUUUAGGGGACCUGAGAGGGUGAUCCCCCACACUGGUACUGAGACACGGACCAGACUCCUACGGGAGGCAGCAGUGAGGAAUAUUGGUCAAUGGGCGGAAGCCUGAACCAGCCAUCCCGCGUGCAGGAAGACAGCCCUAUGGGUUGUAAACUGCUUUUCCAGUGGGCGAACCCCUCGUACGUGUACGGGAUUGACGGUACACUGGGAAUAAGCAUCGGCUAACUCCGUGCCAGCAGCCGCGGUAAAAGUGU
rnacentral:rRNA from 1 species